GACGAACGCUGGCGGCGUGCUUAACACAUGCAAGUCGAACGGAAAGGCCCUGCUUUUGUGGGGUGCUCGAGUGGCGAACGGGUGAGUAACACGUGAGUAACCUGCCCUUGACUUUGGGAUAACUUCAGGAAACUGGGGCUAAUACCGGAUAGGAGCUCCUGCUGCAUGGUGGGGGUUGGAAAGUUUCGGCGGUUGGGGAUGGACUCGCGGCUUAUCAGCUUGUUGGUGGGGUAGUGGCUUACCAAGGCAUUGACGGGUAGCCGGCCUGAGAGGGUGACCGGCCACAUUGGGACUGGGAUACGGCCCAGACUCCUACGGGAGGCAGCAGUGGGAACUAUUGCACAAUGGGCGGAAGCCUGAUGCAGCAACUCCGCGUGCGGGAUGACGGCCUUCGGGUUGUAAACCGCUUUCGCCUGUGACGAAGCGUGAGUGACGGUAAUGGGUAAAGAAGCACCGGCUAACUACGUG
rnacentral:rRNA from 1 species